rnacentral:misc_RNA from 1 species
GAAAUGCGAUAAUUAAUGUGAAUUGCAGAAUUCAGUGAAUCAUCGAGUCUUUGAACGCACAUUGCGCCCCCUGGUAUUCCGGGGGGCAUGCCUGUCCGAGCGUCAUUGCUGCCCUCAAGCACGGCUUGUGUGUUGGGCUUCCGUCCCUGGCAACGGGGACGGGCCCAAAAGGCAGUGGCGGCACCAUGUCUGGUCCUCGAGCGUAUGGGGCUUUGUCACCCGCUCCCGUAGGUCCAGCUGGCAGCUAGCCUCGCAACCAAUCUUUUUAACCAGGUUGACCUCCGAUCAGGUAGGGAUACGCGCUGAACUUAAGC